rnacentral:lncRNA from 1 species
GACUGGGAGUCUUCGUGGUCGGAUUCCCCACCCUUCCUUACCUCGUAAACCGACAGACCUGGGUUUCGCCGCUGCUCCUGUUCCUCGAGCAGCCUUCAAGCAGUGGAAAUUACGGAGAAAUGAACAUUCUGAAAGCGCCUAGUAAAUGCUCAGGAAGAGAUCAGCACCAUGUGAGAUGCAGUAUUCUAACGCUCUGAAAUGUUACUUGUUGUUUAAUAAGUGAUCAUCAUUUAUUAAAUAUUCUUGAUCCUGGCCGGGCGCGGUGGCUCACGCCUGUAAUCCCAGCACCUUGGGAGGCCGAGACGGGCGGAUCACCUGAGGUCAGGAGUUCAAGACCAGCCUGGCCAACAUGGUGAAACCCCGUCUCGACUAAAAAUACAAAAUUAGCCAGGCGUGGUGGCGCAUGCCUGUAAUCCUAGCUACUCAGGAGGCUGAGGCAGGAGAAUCGCUUGAUUCAGUGAGCCGAGAUCGCGCCAUUGCACUCCAGCCGGGCGACAAGAGCUAAAUUGCGACAAGAGCUAAAUUCCGUCUCAAAAAACAAACAAACAAACAAAAAACUUGAUCUUUCAAACCGGGUUACAGCAGUUACCUCAUGCAAAAAAGCAGCCUUACUUAAAGGAUAAAUAACAUGCUUAAAACAUCAGACGGUACUGUGAAUCGGAGACUUGCGUUCUGGAAAAUGCCAUUAUUUACCCCUCUCUGGAAAAAGAUACCCGGCUGGGUGAUUAAUACACAAGGACACAAGGUCCAUUUCAUCACCCUUCUGGUGGAAAGCACAGAAGAAAGAUGUAAUGGCCAACUCCAAUAAAGCAUCUCUGUAAUUUCAUCUUUCUUUGGUAAUUGUCCUGAGAUCCCCAACACCACACAUUUUCUUUGAGAAAGCAUGCAUAUUUCUCUCUACCCUGUCAGGA